UACGGAGGAUCCAAGCGUUAUCCGGAAUCAUUGGGUUUAGAGGGUCCAUAGGCGGGUUAAUAAGUCAGUGGUGAAAGUCUGCAGCUCAACUGUAGUACUGCCAUUGAUACUGUUAACCUUGAGUAGUUAUGAAGUGGUUAGAAUAUGUAGUGUAGCGGUGAAAUGCAUAGAUAUUACAUAGAAUACCGAUUGCGAAGGCAGAUCACUAAUAAUUUACUGACGCUGAUGGACGAAAUCGUAGGUAGCGAACAGG
rnacentral:misc_RNA from 1 species